rnacentral:lncRNA from 1 species
AACAUGGCUGUCCCACCGCCCUCAGAUUGGUAAGAGGUAAUGGGAAAGGGAAUUGCGGGCCAAGAGUUUGGGGAAGUGUAAAGGUUCAGCCCGUGACCAUCGUCUUCCUUCACCUUUCGCAGGCCUGAGAACUGCUUUUAUUAAUAAAUCUCUGGAAACUGAGAUAAAAUUCGCGCAAGAGAAUAACAACAUACUUCGAAAUUUAUAUUGAAAUGAAAUCACCAAAAACGCUGGAAGAAGACUCUUGUUGAGAUUUGCUGCAAUGAAUAUGAGCUCCUGCCUGAUCAAACAACCUCUCAAACCUUAGGUUUCUAGAAAGGCUGCUCUGUCAAACUUCCCAAACCGGUAACUGUCAACGCUUGGAAGCCAGUUCUUUCUUUGUUAAGUUUCCCCAAAUUGUUCUUUUCAAACAGGGCAAAACCUGCACUGGGCAAAACCUCAGCUUGUGGCUGAGAAGGAUAUCCGCCACAGGGCUCCUGGCAAGGGUACAUUUCCCGGCGAGUGAAGAGAACCAAGGCUUGAUCAAAAAUUCGUGGUGUGUUUACAAGAAGAAAAAUAAGGGAUGAGGUGAAGCAAAUUCCACAAACAUCCCAGCAAUCAUGAGCAACUCCUUUUG